rnacentral:rRNA from 1 species
UACGUAGGGUGCAAGCGUUAAUCGGAAUUACUGGGCGUAAAGCGUGCGCAGGCGGUUUUGUAAGUCUGUCGUGAAAUCCCCGGGCUCAACCUGGGAAUUGCGAUGGAGACUGCAAGGCUAGAAUCUGGCAGAGGGGGGUAGAAUUCCACGUGUAGCAGUGAAAUGCGUAGAGAUGUGGAGGAACACCGAUGGCGAAGGCAGCCUCCUGGGCCAGCACUGACGCUCAUGGCACGAAAGCGUGGGGAGCAAACAGG